AAGGAUAUGGCGGAACGGUAGACGCGCUAGUUUUAGGUUCUAGUGAAUUCAGACCAGUCACGUCUGUUUUUUGCACAGGUUCGAGUCCUGUC
rnacentral:tRNA from 1 species